CUAACACAGUGAUGUCAUUUUGGGCCUCUUCAAGAACAAAGGAAAGCAAGAGGUCAUCUGUGAACAGUAAUGUUGAUUCUGAGUCAAGUGAUAGGAGGCAGAGCCUUUUAGUGGUUACAGUGUUAAACUUGGACUGAAGAAUACUCAGACGACACUCAGGAGUGUUGCGGACUAUACAUGGCUUAGGCCACAUGUGACACUAUUCUACAGUUAUCACCGAAUUAAUAAAGGCAAAGAGGG